AGAGAGAGAGAGAGAGAGAUUUGCCUGUCUAUCAGCAUUUGGGGUCAUCCAAGGAAAGCAAUCAGUUCAGAAGGGGCAAAAGAAGGGAGAGACGUUUCUCCGGUGGUGGGAAAACAUCCUGACGCCAUUAUCUUCAUCGCACACAGCUCAGCAUCUCCGGCGAUGGGUGGGACGCGCUCCAGGGCCCAGAGCCACCCUCGCUCGUCCGACAACACGUCUCUCUGCAGACUGCUGGCUGUUUGGGGGGCGAUGGAAAGACAACAGAACAACAUCGUACCAUUGUGUCGAGUUGUCUGGGACUCCCCUGUUUAGGUCCGACCGUGACUGGGCGAUAAUUGUCAACAUUUCCCUGGAUCCGAGCCUCUGUGAGUUUGCGUGCUUCUGCUGAUGUCUUCACCCUUUCACAUCUGGAUCCAAAUUCUCAAAGAGUUGCUCAUAUUCUUUCACGGUGGUUUCUUUUCCUAGCGGGAUCCUUUUGUAUGAA